rnacentral:rRNA from 1 species
GACAGAGGGUGCAAACGUUGCUCGGAAUCACUGGGCGUAAAGGGCGUGUAGGCGGGCAGGAAAGUCAGAUGUGAAAUCCCUGGGCUCAACCCAGGAACUGCAUUUGAAACUCCCUUUCUUGAGUGUCGGAGAGGAAAGUGGAAUUCCAGGUGUAGCGGUGAAAUGCGUAGAUAUCUGGAGGAACACCGGUGGCGAAGGCGGCAUUCUGGACCGACAUUGACGCUGAGGAGCGAAAGCCAGGGGAGCAAACGGG